GUAGUCUGCAACCCGACUACAUGAAGCUGGAAUCGCUAGUAAUCGCGAAUCAGAAUGUCGCGGUGAAUACGUUCCCGGGUCUUGUACACACCGCCGUCACACCAUGGGAGUCGGAAAUGCCCGAAGUCAGUGACCCAACCGUAAGGAGGGAGCUGCCGAAGGUGGAGCCGGUAACUGGGGUGAAGUCGUAACAAGGUAAC
rnacentral:rRNA from 1 species